CCCCUGCCGCCGCCGCCGCGGUCGGACCAGCGGCCUCCUCCCCUCCCCUUCCCCGCGUCGCCCUGCCGCGGGGAGGGGGCUCGCGUCGCCGCCUGCAGUCGCUUCUGAUGAAGCAGCUGCCGUCGCAGACGCCUCCGAAGAUGGGGGAUUUCUAUGACCCCGAGCACCCGACCCCUGAAGAAGAAGAAAAUGAGGCAAAGAUUGAAAAUGUGCAGAAAACAGGUUUCAUCAAAGGACCAAUUUUCAAAGGUGUUGCUUCUAGUCGAUUUUUGCCCAAAGGCACCAAGACAAAAGUUAAUUUGGAGGAACAGGGACGACAGAAGGUGUCAUUCAGCUUCAGCCUUACAAAGAAAACUUUACAGAAUAGAUUUCUGACUGCACUUGGAAAUGAAAAGCAAAAUGAUACUCCAAACUCCCCGGCUAUACCUCUUCAAGCAGAUUCGACCCCUAAAAUUAAAGUGGACAUUGGAGAUACUUUAUCUACUACAGAAGAAUCUUCCCUACCAAAAUCAAGGGUGGAAUUGGGAAAAAUUCAUUUCAAAAAACAUCUACUUCACGUAACAUCCAGGCCACUGCUGGCUGCUACCACAGCAGUAACAUCUCCACCUCCUCCCACAGUACCAUUACCAGCAGUUAUAGCAGAAUCGACAACUGUCGACUCACCACCCCCAUCUCCACCUCCACCACCUCCACCUCCCCAAGCCACAACACCCUCACCACCAGCGCCAGUAACAGAGCCAGUGGCCUUGCCACAUGCACCAGUAACAGUUCUGAUGACAGCACCAGUGCCCUCACCAGUAGAUGUAACAGUUAGAGCCCUGAAAGAACCACCAGUUUCAGUUGUAUCAGAAUCUUUAGAAGUGGACACUAAGCAGGACGCUGUAUCUAAUAGUUCAGAAGAACACAUAACUCAAAAUUUGAAUGAGCAAGCAAAUAUUCCCUCACAAAAAGGAGAUUCCCAUAUUGGGAAGGAAGAAGAAAUUCCAGAUAGUUCUAGAAGUAGUCUAGGCUCUAAGAAAACAGGUUCUAAGAAGAAAUCUUUACAGUCUGAGGGCACCUUUCUUGGUUCAGAAUCUGAUGAAGAUUCUGUACGGACUUCCUCAAGUCAGAGGUCACAUGAUUUAAAAUUUUCAGCAAGCGUUGAAAAGGAAAGAGAUGCAAAAAAGAGCUUAGCACCUUUGAAAAGUGAGGAUUUAGGGAAAUCUUCACGAUCUAAAACAGAGAGAGAUGAUAAAUAUUUUAGCUACUCAAAACUUGAAAGAGAUACUCGGUAUAUAUCUUCCCGAUGUAGAUCAGACAGAGAGCGAAGGCGGAGCAGGUCUCGUUCUAGAUCUGACAGAAGCUCUAGAACUAGUUUAUCCUAUUCUCGAUCAGAACGAUCCCAUUAUUACGAUUCUGAUCGUCGCUACCAUAGGAACUCCCCUUAUCGAGAGAGGACACGCUAUUCUCGGCCAUAUACAGAGAACAGGGCAAGAGAGAGUUCUGACUCAGAAGAUGAGUAUAAGAGGACAUACUCAAGGCGUACCUCAUCUCAUUCCUCCUCUUACAGAGACCUAAGGACAUCAUCAUCCUAUUCUAAAUCUGAUCGGGACUGCAAAACUGAGUCCUCGUACAUAGAGACAGAGAAAAGAGGAAAAUAUUCUUCAAAACUAGAGAGAGAAUCCAAAAGGACUUCAGAAAAUGAAGUUUUGAAAAGGUGUUGUUCUCCCUCUAAUGAUGUGGGAUUCCGACGGGGGUCAUCAUAUUCUAAGCAUGAUAACAGUGCUUCUCGUUAUAAAGUUACCCCUUCAAAACCUAUACCCAAGUCUGAUAAAUUUAAAAAUUCUUUCUGUUGUACAGAAUUAAAUGAGGGAAUCAAACAAUCUCAUUCUUUUAGUUUACAGACUCCUUGUUCAAAAGGUAGUGAAUUAAGAAUGAUUAAUAAAAUUCCUGAAAGAGAAAAGACCGGGUCUCCAUCACCAUCAAAUCAGUUAAAGGAUUCACCUACUUUUAAAAAGCUAGAUGAAUCACUUAUUUUUAAGUCUGAAUUUAUAGGACAUGAUAGCCAUGAUAGUAUUAAGGAAUUAGACUCUUUGUCUAAAGGGAAGUAUGAUCAAUUAAGAACUUAUCAUCCCAUAGAACUAAAUAUAAAUGGAUCUCCUGGAGCAGAAUCUGAUUUGGCAACAUUUUGCACUUCUAAAACUGAGACUCUUUUAAUGUCUUCUGAUGAUAGUGUGACUGGAUCAGAGGUAUCCCCUUUGAUCAAAGCAUGCAUGCUUUCAUCAAAUGGAUUUCAGAAUAUUAGUAGAUGUAAAGAAAAAGACUUGGAUGCUACUUGCAUGCAGCAUAGUAAGUCAGAAAGCCCAUUUAGAGAAACAGAACCUCCAGUGUCACCACACCAAGAUAAACUCGUGACAUUGCCAGUUAUGGUGAUAGAUUAUUCCAAAACAGUAGUUAGAGAGCCAGUUGAUAAGAGAGUUUCUUGCUGCAAAACCAAAGAUUCAGAUGUAUACUAUACUUCAAAUGACAGCAACCCUUCUUUGUGUCAUUCUGAAGCUGAAAAUAUUGAGCCUUCAGUUACGAAGAUUUCUUCCAAUAGCUUUAUGAAUGUUCAUUUGGAGUCAAAAACAGUUAUAUGUGAUAAUAGAAAUCUGACAGAUCAGAACUCAAAGUUUGGAUGUGAAGAAUAUAAGCAGAGCGUUGGUAGCACUAGUUCAACUUCUGUUAAUCAUUUUGAUGAUUUAUGCCAACCUGUAGGGAGUUCCAGUAUUGCCUCAUCUCUUCAGAGUCUUCCACCAGAAAUAAAAGCAGACAGUUUAACUCACUUGCGGUGUGCAGAGAACACAUCUCCAGUUUUGGAUGCUGUGCUGAUGAGUAAAACAAGCACAGAGUUUUUAAAACACACAGGGGAAGAAACAAUAGUAGAAGUGGGUAGUGGCCUUCCUGAUUCAAGAAGGGGAUUUUCUUCCUGGGAAAACAGGCAUAAUAAUGGGCUGUCUGAGAAGUGUUUGCAAGAGACUCAAGAAGAAGGAAAUUCCAGGUUACCUGAUAGAAGAAGAAGAUCAGAAAUCUCUUUAGAUGAAGGAGGAAGAAGACAUGUGCGUACUUCUGAUGAUUCAGAAGUUGUAUUUUCUUCUUGUGAUUUGAAUUUAACCAUGGAAGACAGUGAUGGUGUAACUUACACCGUAAAAUGUGACAGUAGUGGCCACGCCUCAGAAAUUGUGUCUACUAUCCAUGAAGAUUAUUCUGGAUCUUCUGAAAGUUCAAGUGAUGAAAGUGAUUCAGAAGAUACAGAUUCUGAUGAUAGCAGUAUUCCAAGAAACCGUCUCCAGUCUGUUGUGGUUGUGCCAAAGAAUUCUACUUUGCCUAUGGAAGAAACAAGUCCUUGUUCUUCUCGGAGCAGUCAGAGUUACAGACACUGUUCCGACCACUGGGAAGAUGAGAGAUUGGAGUCAAGAAGACAUGCAUAUGAGGAAAAAUUUGAAGUUAUGGCAAAUAAAACCUGUCCUCAAACUGAGAAGUUCUUUCUUCAUAAAGGAGCAGAGAAGAACCCAGAAAUCUCUUUUACACAGUCCAGCAGAAAACAAGUGGAUAACCACCUGCCUGAAAUUGUUCAUCCUCAGAGUGAUGGGGUUGAUAGUACAAGUCAUACAGAUGUGAAAUCUGACCCUCUGGGUCAUCCAAAUUCAGAGGAAAUAGUAAAAGUCAAAAUAGCUUCUAGGCAACAAGAACUGCCAGUUUAUUCUUCUGAUGAUUUUGAAGAUGUUCCAAGUAAGUCUCGGCAACAGACUACUUUCCCUCACAGGCCAGAUAGUAGGCUGGGGAAAAUGGAGUUGAGUUUUUCUUCCUCUUGUGAGAUCUCUCUAGUUGAUGGCUUUCACUCAUCAGAAGAGCUCAGAAACUUAGGGUGGGACUUCUCUCAAGCAGAAAAGCCUACUACCACAUAUCAGCAACCUGACAGCAGCUAUGGAGCUUGUGAUGGACACAAGUAUCAGCAAAGUGCAGAACAGUAUGGUGGGACACAUAGUUACUGGCAAGGUAAUGGCUACUGGGAUCCAAGAUCAGCAGGUAGACCUCCUGGAACUGGAGUUGUGUAUGACCGAAUUCAAGGGCAAGUACCAGAUUCCCUAACAGAUGACCGUGAAGAGGAGGAGAAUUGGGAUCAAUGUGGUGGAUCCCACUUUUCAAGCCAAUCAAAUAAAUUUCUUCUGUCCAUUCAGCAGAAGGACAGGGGAUCAGUGCAAGCACCUGAAAUAAGCAGCAAUUCCAUUAAGGACUGUUUAGCUGUAAAUGAGAAGAAAGAUCUUACAAAAAACUUAGAGAAAAAUGACAUGAAAGAUAGAGGACCUCUUAAAAAAAGGAGGCAGGAAUUGGAGAGUGAUUCUGAAAGUGAUGGUGAGCUUCAGGACAGAAAGAAAGUUAGAGUAGAGGUAGCGCAGGGAGAGACAGCAGCAACCCCAGGCUCUGCACUAGUUGGACCUUCCUGUGUCAUGGAUGACUUCAGGGACCCUCAGCGAUGGAAGGAGUGUGCCAAGCAGGGGAAGAUGCCUUGUUACUUUGAUCUUAUUGAAGAAAAUGUUUAUUUAACAGAAAGAAAGAAGAAUAAAUCCCAUCGGGAUAUUAAGCGAAUGCAGUGUGAGUGUACGCCUCUUUCUAAAGAAGAAAGAGCUCAAGGUGAAAUAGCAUGCGGGGAAGAUUGUCUUAAUCGUCUCCUUAUGAUUGAAUGUUCUUCUCGGUGUCCAAAUGGGGAUUAUUGUUCCAAUAGACGGUUUCAGAGAAAACAGCAUGCAGAUGUGGAAGUCAUACUCACAGAAAAGAAAGGCUGGGGCUUGAGAGCAGCCAGAGAUCUACCUUCGAACACCUUUGUCCUGGAAUAUUGUGGAGAGGUACUUGAUCAUAAAGAGUUUAAAGCCCGGGUGAAGGAGUACGCGCGAAAUAAAAACAUUCACUACUAUUUCAUGGCCCUGAAGAAUGAUGAGAUAAUAGAUGCUACUCAGAAAGGAAAUUGCUCACGUUUCAUGAAUCACAGCUGUGAGCCAAACUGUGAGACUCAAAAAUGGACUGUGAAUGGACAACUGAGAGUUGGGUUUUUUACCACCAAACUGGUUCCUUCAGGAUCAGAGUUAACAUUUGACUAUCAGUUCCAAAGAUAUGGAAAAGAGGCUCAGAAAUGUUUCUGUGGGUCAGCUAAUUGCCGAGGUUACCUGGGAGGAGAGAACAGAGUCAGCAUUCGAGCAGCAGGAGGGAAAAUGAAGAAGGAGCGAUCCCGUAAGAAGGAUUCAGUGGAUGGAGAGCUUGAAGCUCUGAUGGAAAAUGGUGAAGGUCUCUCGGAUAAAAACCAGGUGCUCAGCUUAUCCCGCCUGAUGGUUAGAAUUGAAACUUUGGAGCAGAAACUUACCUGUCUUGAGCUCAUACAGAACACACACUCACAGUCCUGCCUAAAAUCCUUUCUGGAAUGUCAUGGACUGUCUUUGCUGUGGAUCUGGAUGGCAGAGCUAGGUGAUGGCCGGGAAAGUAACCAGAAGCUUCAGGAAGAGAUUAUAAAGACUUUGGAACACUUGCCCAUUCCUACUAAAAAUAUGCUGGAAGAAAGCAAAGUACUUCCAAUCAUUCAGCGUUGGUCUCAGACCAAGACCGCUGUCCCUCAGUUGAGUGAAGGAGAUGGGUAUUCUAGUGAGAACACAUCACGUGCUCACACACCACUCAACACACCUGAUCCUUCUACCAAGCUUAGCACGGAAGCUGACACAGAAACCCCCAAGAAGCUCAUGUUUCGUAGACUGAAAAUUAUAAGUGAAAAUAGCAUGGAUAGUGCGAUUUCUGAUGCUACCAGUGAACUAGAAGGCAAGGAUGGCAAAGAGGACCUUGACCAGUUAGAAAAUGUCCCCAUAGAGGAAGAGGAAGAGUUGCAACCACAACAGCUACUCACACAACAGCUGCCUGAAUCCAGAGUUGAUGGUGAAGCUUCAGUGGAGGUCAGUAAGCUACCCAUGUCUGAACCAGAGGCUGACAGUGAAAUAGAGCCCAAAGAGAGCAAUGGCACAAAACUAGAAGAACCUAUUGCUGAGGAAACACCAUCCCAAGAUGAAGAGGAAGGUGUGUCUGAUGUGGAGAGUGAAAGGAGCCAGGAACAGCCAGAUAAAACAGUGGAUAUAAGUGAUUUGGCCACCAAGCUCCUGGACAGUUGGAAAGACCUAAAGCUUCUCAGGGCAGCAAGGAGCUUGUUAACAUCACCAGCUGACCAUGUGUCUCCUUUUCUCAACUCCAUUUACAACUUCGUGCUGAAGAAAAACGAGAACCUAGCGUGCAUUCUGUGAAGAAACAGGAAGAUGGUUGGGAAGCUGGAUGAUGCAUGAAAAAUAUGAUAGGUGAAAAGAGGACAGAGGUGGUUAACUCAUUGGCGCCGGCAUUAUUUUGGUGCGUCCAUUGCCGACAAUGGAUGUCCUUCCGGGAAAAUCCCGACUUCUGGCGAGAAAGGAUUAAAAAAAAUUUGCCAACACCUGAUGUAAAAGAUAAAAGUACAGAAUCUGGCUGCUCUAAACAUUCUGGUUUUGAAUGAAGUCAUUUUAACACUUAACUCUCCUGGGUGAGCUCUUAAUUCUCUUUCCCUAAAGACAUAAUGGUCAUGUUUCUAUUGCCCAUGAAGUUAGUUUUUUUUUAAAAAGCCUUGACUCUGUUUAGGAAAAGUUACUUUAAGUGAUGUAAAACUACCUGAGAAGUGGCAGAGUAUAUACAUUAAUGAAAUUACUGGGCUAGAAUACACCUCCAAGGAAUGCAGUUCUUUCCUUAGGACCAUGAUCAAGUCAGCAUUUAAGAGACUUUUAUAGUGUAGAUGUAGGUUGUAUAAUUUAGUUUUGUAUAUAAUCAUAAUGUGAAUAUAUACAUUUUCCUGCUUAAUGUUUUCGACUUUUAAUUCUGAAAUAAUUUCAGACUCAGAAAUCACAAGAAUAAUAUAAAAAAAAAAAAAUCCUGUAAGUCCUUCAUCAGAUUCUCCAAAUGUUAAUAUUUUACCAAAUUUACUUUAUCCUGGUCUUUUUUUUUUUUCUGAAACUUUUUAAGAGUAAGUUACAGAUAAUAUGCCCCUAUGUCCCUAAAUUUCUUAGUAUGUAUUUCCUAACAGCAACGAUAUUCUCAUAUAUAAUUGCAAUAUGCUUAUGAAAAUCAACAAAUUACAAUGACAUGAUGCUAUUAUCUAAUGAACAAAUCUUACUCAAAUUUUGCCAGUUGUUUACACAAUGCCCUCUAUAGCAAAAGAAAAAGAAAAAUUUCUGGUCCAAAACCUAAUCUGGGAUCAGGCUUUACAUUGAGUUUUAUCUCUUUAGUAUCUUUUAAUCUGAAUCAGUUUCUCAGUCUUUUUUUGUCAUUCAUGAACUUCACAUUUUUGAAAAGUACAGGCCAGCUAUUUUGUAGAAAUCCCUCAGUUUGGGUUUGUCUGAACUUUUCCUCAUGUUUGGAUUCAGGUUAUGUGUUUUUGUCAGAAAUGUUACAGUAAUGCUCUUCCCAUGAUGUCAGCUUGUCCAAUUACUGGCAUUUUCAACUUUGAUCAUUUAGUUAAGGUGGUGUCUGCCGAGUUUCUGCACUGUAAAGUUACUGUUUUUCCCUUCAUAAUUAAAAAAUAUCACAUGGAGAGCAACUUUGGGACUAUGUAGAUAUUUUAUUUUCCAUCAAAUUUUGUCUGCUACUUUUAGCAUCCAGUGAUUUGUUUGAAUCAGUUGUUACUGUGGUUGCCAAAUUUUCCAAUCCAUCGUUUUUUUUUUUUUACUUCUGUGUUUAUUGGUUAAUGUUUUUUUAUAAGUAAGAGCUUUCCCUGCUCUCCUGUUUGUUUAUUCAUUGAUUUAUACAAGUAGACUCAUGGAAACCCUGGUGGCAUAGUGGUUAAGAGCUGCAGCUGCUAACCAGAAGGUUGGCAGUUCAAAUACACCAGGCACUCCUUGGAAAUCCUAUGGGGCACUUCUACUCUGUCCUAUGGGGUCGCUAUGAGUCGGAAUUGACUCGAUGGCAAUGGGUGAACGGGUAGUAGACUCAUGGAUUCUUAUUUUAGUCAGUGGAUUGUGAUCCAUUAAUUCCAUUAUUUUGAUGCUUUAAUUGUCCCAUAUUUGACCAGUGGAAGCCCCUUCAGGUUGACUUCUUUGUCCUUUUGACAUGUCUGUUAUUUUUUGAGCUUUCUGGCAUAACAUGUUGUCCAGGCUCAUCUUGUACUUUCCCUUUCCCAACGCUGGAAUCAGCCAUUUCUCCAAGAAGCCCUGGUUCCUUGUGGUGGGAAGUGAUAUUUAGAAACCAAGAUCUGGAAUGUCGGUGAAGUCAUUGCUAUUGGGGGUGUUUCUUCUAGAACCUGUCAGUAGACAGAACUAGGAGUUUUAUAUUUAUAUGUACGUGCACAUGCAGCCUACCUGACCUCGCUGUCAUUUCUCUUUACUUUGCCUUCUGUUAGUCUGACAUCACCCUCUUCCAAAUCUUUUGAGCUUCUUUCUCUGACUCUGAUUGUUCUUCUUCUCUCUAUUCCUUAAAAGGUUGUAUUUCUCAUGGCAUCUGAGAUUUCUUUUUGUCUUACCCGUUAAAUAGAUCACAUUGUCUCUUUGCCACUUUUAGUUCAGGCCCCCAUCAUUUUUUGCUUAGACUUUUGCAGCAACCUCCUAUUUGUCAUUCUUGCUUCUAUUCUUUUCCCUCUUCAUAUUAUCCUUCAUUAUGGUACAGCAUUUUUUAAAAACACAAGGACUCCCAUUACUCAAAGAACAAAGCCUUUAGUGCAUGGUAUGGGAGAUCCUUCUAUCUCUGUCUAACCUUCUUGUCCAGCAAUUUCUCUUACACACUUAAUGCAUGAGCCACAUCAGGGUGCCCUUACAUCUUCACCUCUCCAUGUUUCUCUUCAUGCUGUUCUCCCUGCUUGGGAUAUCCUUUUUUCUUAAAAAAAAAAAUAAAUCGUGUUUGUUUAAACUUACAGUUUAUCCUUUGUAAUACUUUGGCCUUUUCUGUAUUUUUAUACAAUAGUAGUAAUCUUAACGGAUUACUAACAUUACUUGCUUAGAUGCUUGUUUGCCCUCACUAGACCAUGGAGUCCUAAAGGUCAGGGGCUAUUUCUUUUUUUUUUUUUAUUGUACUUCAGGUGAAGGCUUACAGAACAAAAGUUUCUCAUGAAACAGUAGUGCACAUAUUGUUUUAUGACAUUGGUUAACAA